rnacentral:lncRNA from 1 species
AAGUUGUUCAUAUGACUCGGCGAGUCGGAUGAAGAUUGUCUGAGUUCUUGGAUCGAGAGGGCACUCGUCGAGUCGAUGCCAUUCUCGACGAGUAGCCACGAGUAGGGUUGAGAAGUGAGACUGGAGACUCGGCGAGUUGGCGGCCCAACUCGGCAAGUCAGGUCAACUGUGGGUUGACUUUGACCGAGAGUGUUGACUUUGACCAGGGGUAAAAGAGUCAUUUUACCCAAUACAGUGAUUAGCAUCUGAUUGAGUGUGUUAUGGAAUUGUAGCCGGGGAGAUACCGGAGCAGCAGCAGUUAGUUUCCAGAGCCAUACACACAGCAGCCAGUUCACGAGGUGAGUUUCCUUCUAGUAGGUACGGGUCUGAGGCUACCACGCCGGCCCGUUCAGUCAGCUGUAGUUUCAAGACUUCGGUCCAAUACAGAAGUUAGUAUGUUUGAUGCCUCCUUGGCUCAGGGAGGAUUUAAUUUUUUUUGCUAGUUGAUAUGUUAUGCUAUACUGUGUUCAGUCAGUCAGCUUCGGACUCCGGUUCGAUGUAGGGGACAAGGUCCCAAUCAGUCAGCUUCGGGCUUCGGCCCGAUGCAGGGGUCAAGGUCCCAGUCAGUCAGCUUCGGACUCCGGUCCGAUGUAGGGGACAAGGUCCCAGUCAGUCAGCUUCGGACUUCGGUCCGAUGUAGGGGACAAGGUCCCAGACAGUUAGCUUCAGACCUCGGUUCGAUGGAGGGGGCAAGGCCCCGUAUGUGUUUUAUAUGUUAUUGCAUGGUAUUUGGUAGUUUGGGGGAGCUCACUAAGCUUUGUGCUUACAGUUUC